rnacentral:lncRNA from 1 species
CUGCUUAUGAGCAUUGAGUGUGGUCAAGCUGUGUAGACCCUUAGGAGCUUGUCAUGCGGUUAAAAUCAAGAUUCACUUGCACGUUCACUCAUACAUGCUGCUUCUACUCCGGAAGUAUGCAUCCACAUACAUCCACUUAUUUCCAUCUCUAGAUUCACCCAAAAUUAUUCUACUCCUAUCCGGGAGAGAAUAGCCAAAAACAUUAUCCCAUUCCUGUUUUUCCCCGUAAAAUAAAUGCUCGAGAUAUUUUAGGUACUACCACUUGCUACAUUAUUCCAGGAGGGUGAGUGCUCUGAAAAAAAGUGAAUACGAGGAAAUAAAAAGGGGCAAGUGCCCGAAACCUCGAAGAAAAGAAAAAGUGAGACGAGAGGUAAAAUGGACAAGUGUCCGACAGUAGAAUUAGGGGUACAAGAUACCCACCUGAGAGAAAAGAAAAAAAAUAUAGAGCAUCUCAUUCUCCUCAAAAAGCUUCAAAGUGCAAGAAAGGUAUGUAUCCCCUCAAAAGAGCACAAGUAGAAUUAGACUUUCACCAUUGUUAUCACCAUCAUCACCAUACACCAUUCACUCGCCACACAUGCACAUCUUGAUUUGACUUAUUGACUUGUUCUUCUGGAU